CGCAAGGUGAGUGGCAGACGGGUGAGUAACGCGUGGGAACCUUCCCUUUGGUACGGAAUAACUUCGGGAAACCGAAGCUAAUACCGUAUAAGUCCUCCGGGAGAAAGAUUUAUCGCCAAAGGAUGGGCCCGCGUUGGAUUAGCUAGUUGGUAGGGUAAAGGCCUACCAAGGCAACGAUCCAUAGCUGGUCUGAGAGGAUGAUCAGCCACACUGGGACUGAGACACGGCCCAGACUCCUACGGGAGGCAGCAGUGGGGAAUAUUGGACAAUGGACGCAAGCCUGAUCCAGCCAUGCCGCGUGAGUGAAGAAGGCCUUAGGG
rnacentral:rRNA from 1 species